rnacentral:rRNA from 1 species
UACAGAGGUCUCAAGCGUUGUUCGGAUUCAUUGGGCGUAAAGGGUGCGUAGGCGGCGCGGUAAGUCGGGUGUGAAAUCUUGGAGCUUAACUCCGAAACUGCAUUCGAUACUGCCGUGCUUGAGGACUGGAGAGGAGACUGGAAUUUACGGUGUAGCGGUGAAAUGCGUAGAUAUCGUAAGGAAGACCAGUGGCGAAGGCGGGUCUCUGGACAGUUCCUGACGCUGAAGCACGAAAGCUAGGGGAGCAAACAGG